rnacentral:rRNA from 1 species
ACGGGGUGCAGCAGGCGCGAAAACUUCACAAUGCUGGCAACAGCGAUGAGGGAAUCCCAAGUGCUAACACAUUGUGUUAGCUGUUUAUUUGUCUAAAAAACAGGUAGAGUAAGGGCUGGGUAAGACCGGUGCCAGCCGCCGCGGUAAUACCGGCAGCUCGAGUGGUAGCCGCUUUUAUUGGGCCUAAAGCGUCCGUAGCCGGUCUGGUAAACCCUUGGGUAAAUCGUAUAGCUUAACUAUACGAAUUCCGAGGAGACUGCCAGACUUGAGACCGGAGAAGGUCGGAGGUACUCCUGGGGUAGGGGUGAAAUCUUAUAAUCCUAGGGGGACCACCAGUGGCGAAGGCGUCCGACUGGAACGGCUCUGACGGUAAGGGACGAAACCCUGGGGCACAAACCGGAUUAGAUACCCGGGUAGUCCAGGGCGUAAACGCUGCAGGCUUGGUGUUGGGGGUCCCGCGAGGGCGUCCAGUGCCGGAGAGAAGUUGUUAAGCCUGCCGCCUGGGAGUACGAUCGCAAG